GACGAACGCUGGCGGCGUGCUUAACACAUGCAAGUCGAACGGAGAUCGCUCAAUGCCGAAGUUUUCGGAUGGAGGCGCCGAGCGUAUCUUAGUGGCGAACGGGUGAGUAACGCGUGAGCAACCUGGCCUUUACAGGGGGAUAACAACUGGAAACGGUUGCUAAUACCGCAUAAGACCACAGUAUCGCAUGGUACAGGGGUCAAAGGAGCAAUCCGGUAAAGGGGGGGCUCGCGUCCCAUUAGAUAGUUGGUGAGGUAACGGCUCACCAAGUCAGCGAUGGGUAGCCGGUCUGAGAGGAUGAACGGCCACACUGGGACUGAGACACGGCCCAGACUCCUACGGGAGGCAGCAGUGGGGAAUAUUGGGCAAUGGGGGAAACCCUGACCCAGCAACGCCGCGUGAGGGAAGAAGGUUUUCGGAUUGUAAACCUCUGUCCUCAGGGAAGAAGAAAGUGACGGUACCUGAGGAGGAAGCCCCGGCUAACUACGUGCCAGCCGCCGCCGUAACAC
rnacentral:rRNA from 1 species